rnacentral:rRNA from 1 species
CCCUUAGAUGUUCUGGGCCGCACGCGUGCUACACUGAGUGGAUCAGCGGGUCAGGUUGCGCGAAAGCGUUUCCUAAUCUUUAAAUCCGCUCGUGAUGGGGAUUGACGGUUGCAAUUUUCUGUCAUGAACGAGGAAUACCUUGUAAGCGCGGGUCAUCAUCCCGCGCUGAAUACGUCCCUGCCCUUUGUACACACCGCCCGUCGCUCCUACCGAUUGAGUGUUCCGGUGAGGCUUUGGGAGAAUGGCCUCAACAUGAGUUUAUCGUGUUUUGCCGUUUGAACUUAGUCAAACCUUAUCACUUAGAGGAAGGAGAAGUCGUAACA